rnacentral:tRNA from 1 species
GGGCGGUUAGCUCAGCUGGAAGAGCGCCUGGUUUACACCCAGGAGGUCGGCGGUUCGACCCCGUCACCGCCCA